rnacentral:lncRNA from 1 species
GGGUUGGGUGGUGGAGAGCGCGUGUCAUCUGCGGGUGGCACUGCCCACGGUGGGCGGGCGGGCCCCUCUACUCGAAGGUGACCACGUUUAGAUUCUGAGACGGGAAGUGGAGGGUGAAUAGGUCACGGCGGCCUUUUUUUUUUAGUUUAACUUUUCCUUUUUUGCCGUCUGGUCAUCCUCGUCGGUCUUCUGCUUCUGGGUAUCGACAUCGUUAUCCUCAUCAUCUUCAGCUGCCCGCUUGCCCGUAGCUGACUCAGCUCCCUCAUCUUCAUCUCCAUCCUCUUCCUCACCAUCACCUUCUUCCUCCCCACCUUCUUCCUCUUCUUCAUCUACCUCGUUGUCAGCCUCCGGCUCCCCAUUUUCCUCAUUAGCAUUCCCGUGAGCAGGGGCGUCUCUUCCAUUUUCCGCCUCUUCCACAACUUCCUUCUUCUCCUUUAAGUCCUCGGUGGUGAUUUCGGAGCUGGUGUCUACGGCUGCGUCUGACAUGGUGGGGCACGCCGGUGACGCGAUGCAGGGGAUAAAAAAGAAAGCGACAGUUCAGGGACUCUGGCGAUAAAGCUGCCGGAGUCCGCGGCGGCGGAGGCGGCUGCGGCGAGCAAGGAGGCUGACGACGCACAAUGCAAAGACGGCUUUUCAGAGCAGCCAGUGGGGCAGGACAAUGUUUUUCAUCAAAUGUCCUUAGAUUUGGAGGAGGGUAAGAGUUGUUUUUUUUUUCUCUCUCUCUCUCAGAGAAAAGCAUGCCCCCAAAAGACAUUCCACAACUGCAUACUCUGGCAAGUCACUUAACAUGAAAUUUUUCUCUAUAUAUUACACUUACCUGAUGCACAGGGCAGCGUGUUGAAAGUUUCCUCCUUUGCUAUUCCUUCAGGCUUUAUAUUGACAAAAAAAAAAAAAAAAAGUAAAGCGAUACUGAAUGUAUAAAAGAAAAAUUAAACACUUGAAAGCAAAGGAGAAAAUGGUGGUGAAAAAUUGGAUUGUAGAUCUAUCCACAUUCUUGGGAAUUAAAUGUCACUGUGAGAUGCAUGUUAGAUAAUACUGUAUGAAAUAAUAAGGGCUCUGAGACUCACAGAGAGUAGACUUACGUACCUCAACUAGUAAGGCCUUGACUACAGUGUCCUUCUGCGCAAGUGGUGGGACGUCAGUCAACUCAUUGUCACACACUUCCUGAGAAUGCAUGGCUUCCGCAGUGGCUGUGAAAUUCACCUUUCCUGGGGAAUAAAGUUCUUAAGAGUUAAACGGUGAUUCUAUAUUGAACAGUUUCUUCUUUUCCAGUUUCCCCAGUGUAUCCAGUGGUUGUCUUCCUCUUGAUUAAUAUUAAAGGAGGAGAAAAAGUGUGUAUUGGGGUCAGUGCAGAAAACAAAUCAUCCAAGCACACGAAGUGGAAUUUGCUAAUAGCAUUACUACUCACCCAGUGACUUCGGAGUCACAACCCAGGACACGGUUUUCCGCCCAUUUCUACAGACACAGUGAGAUUCUUCAUUCUUCUCUGUUGGAACAGCCAGGAAAGCGGAAGAGACCUCCAGCUGCACAACGACCUGUCCCCCACACCCAACCACAAGUUUAUGAAGGGAUGCAGAACAGCAUGAAUACUGCAAAAGAUGCUCUGUGCAUCAGGUAAAUGGACUGAGGGACAAUGUCCAUGAGUCCAGAGGCGCUGAGAAGCUGUGCAAAUAUGGUCAGCUCUAUCAGACACUUUGUAGUUUAGGUGUUUGAAACAAGAAAAUUGAAAAACUGACAGGAAUUAGGAUAAGUGUUUAGGAUUUAGCCUUGUGCCAACAGAAGAAAGAGGUGUUUAGUGAAAAACAUGAAACAAUCAGGUGGACAUAAUGUCUGAAUUUAGGAAUACACAGAUAUAGGAGCCUGAAUGAAUAUAACCUUACCACCUUGGGCCUGUCAGGUACCUUUUCUCUUAGUACCAGGUCUGCUCCAAAAUUAGGAUAUAUCAUAUGCAGUUCUGAUUUCCUGGGUUACCUAGGAGACCUGGUAAUGAAUGGUGACUAUCUUCUAUUCUCAUUCACUUCCAGAGAAGUGUCCUUACCCGAAUGCAGGUGGACAAGCAGUUAAACACAGUGGCUUUGAGUGUGAAGGCUUCUCCUCGCACCACAGAAUAAGGAAGGGUGAGUUCUAGGAAGAAAGGCUGGAAGGCUUGAAGAGACACGAUAGGAGAGAGGCCAAACCCUGUGGUUCCAGACAAGCAGAAUGCGCUGGCCUUCCACUCUGUGAUGGUUUCAGGGACCUGGUCACCAGCUCACUUAUACCUAAUGAGCUAGUGAAGGAGCAGAGAAGAGGAGUAUAAGCAAAUCUUUUUUUUUUUUUUUUAACACAAAGCAUGGCUGAUCCUAGAACAUGAUAACUCAGUAACCUAGUGUGGUAAAUGCUAAACUUGAUCUAAGGGUUGGUGCUCCUGGUGAGGUUUAAAGUUUUUUUUCUCCCUACCUCCCUUACUCCCUCCUUCCCUCCCUCCCUUUAUUUCUUCCUCUUUUCUUUCAUUCUUUCCUUCCUUUUGUUCUUUCUUUCAAUCUCCCUCCCCUCCCCUUCCCUUUCCUUUAUUUAAGAGGGCUGGUAGCAUCCUACUUUCUAUUAUCUUAGUUAUCAAUAGACUAAAUUAGAAAAAAAAUUAGCAUUGUUUAAUUAUGAGAUAAAUGAACUAUAAACCUAAAUAUUUACCAGAAAAGAGCAGAGCAGAACUAAAAGGAUCAGGAAUCCAGGAUAACAUCAGUCAUACAGCAGGAUUCAAACCCUCUCCUAAACUAAAUUCCAGGCAACACACAACUUACUCAACUACCACCAAAUCCCAGAUCCAGGUCUCAGGGAAGUACUUCCGGACUAUCUCUUUCACUUGCAAUAUCUGAGGUUCUUCUUCGAUCAUUGGGUACAUUAUUUCUACGGCUCCUGGGGGUACACCUCGCAGACCUGGUCCUGGAAGACAACACACAGGCCUCAGUGUGAACCUCAUUUUUAUCAUCAAUUUCUUAUUGCUGCCUUAUUUCUCAAAUGGAAUAAGGUCAUACGCUCAGGGAAUGUUUAUUAUUGGAACAAUUUAACCUACCAGCUUGUUAUUUUGUUCACUUUCCUAUAAAAAGGCUAAUCCUAUUUUUUCUUCAAAUAGAAUCUAGAGCUAAAUAUAUUUUUCUUUAUAAAUAAAAACAAAUGACCUGUACAUGUACCUCCUGAAUCUAAAAUAAAAGUUGAUUAAAAAAAAACAAAUGUAGCUCUCUCUAAGAUGAUUACUCAACUGGUGAAGGGAAGGAUAAAGAGUAAUUUAAUACACCAAAUAUUGCUUUUACACUGAAAUUGUGUUCACAUGUCUUCUGUUUGCAGUGAGAAUCAAACGAGGAAUGGAUAUUAGCUAAGCAAGAUGAUUUCGGGAAUGAUUUUUUGUUUGUUUGUUUGUUUCGACAUUGAAUUAAUAUGGAGACAUAAACAAUAAGCAACAGGAUUCAGUAAAGUAUGUAGUAUAGACAAUAGGGAGUCAGGAAUGAAAAGACAAUCAACUUUAGUUAGGCCGGAAAAGACUUUACCAAAGCGGAACCUAAGAUGAUCAUUCAUGGAUGGGAGGUGGAGGAGAAUGGGGAGUUAUUCCCAGGAAAGGACUGUGCAAAUAUAUAUACAAAGGUGGAAGGGUGCUUCACAGGGAUAGUAAAAAUUUACCCUCUAGAGUAGAAUGGCUAUUUUCAGGGUGUGUUUCCCAUAAUUAGGUAAACAGAAGGUAUAAUAUAUAAUAAAACAUAAGGCUAGGACAAAUGAAUAAGGUCUGUUAAGUGGGAGUUAGUUAGCUUGAUAAAAAAGAAAUUGAUAUUCCAGAAAUCAGAAGAUAUACAUAUAUAUAAGAUAUAUAUAAUCUUUACAUAUUGUUAACAUUAUCUUAAAUAUCUUUAUUAUAAUAUUAUUCUAUAAUAUAUCUUCUGAUCUCUGGGGCAUCACUUUUUAAAGAUAAUUAUAUACGUGUGUAAUUAUAAAUACAUAUAUGAUAUAUAUAUAAGAUAAUAGAGUUAGAUGUGCUCUUUCAAAACCUUAAAUGCAAUAAUCUUAUGAAUUCUGGAAGUAUUGACUAUGUUUGAGAAACAAGUGACAUGAGAAAAGCAGUGUUUAAGAGUAUGCAGGACAGAUAGAGGUAAAGAAAAGCUGGAGGCAAGGAAGUUAAAUUAGAAUGGUUUUUCAGUAAUCUAGUUAUGAAAUAAUGACAGACAGAUUAAAGUGCUGUAACUGAAAAUGAGAAGGAAGAAAAGGAUAAGCAACAAAUACCAAAAGAAAAAUUUGCAUAGAAUAUUACAGAACAUUUGGGGUCAAAGUGUAACGAUGUACUCUGAGUUUUCAGGUUUUCUGAAUCAUACCUUUGUUUCCAUUGAUCUGUUUUCUCUUAGGUUGGAAAGAAAAUACACACUUGGUGAAAUGAAAGUCAAUUAAUCAUGCUUUUCAGUUUCUUUUUUUUAAACAAACAUGCCAUUAAAGGAAUCAUGAUUUUUUUUUUUUCAUUUUAUGGUCACAAUACCUCAGUGAGUUUGGUGUUGUCAUUCUGACUUCAGAUUUAAAGAAACUGAGCCUCUAAAAGGUUAAGUGAGUCUGCAAAUUUCCAAAGUCACAUAGUCAUAGCAGAUAGGAGUGUGAUGAAAAAUUGUCCCUUUGUUCUUAAAACAGUGUUCUUUUUUCACUAUACAGGAUUUUUUUUUUUUUUCUGGUGAGGAAAUAUCCUUAAUGACUCCUUUGUUUUCAAUUAGAACAUUACUCCUUGCCUUCCCAGGCAGUGAAUCUGCUGUAUUAAAAUGUGUUUAUUCUUUUUUUUUUUUUAACACUUUUUACUGCCAUCCUCAUUUUUUAUUAAAAAGUAAAUUUGGUAGACAUUCAAGCAUGCAGAGAAAAAUUUCUCUAGGCCUGAUGGCAGUAGAAAAGAAUUUUGAGUUAGGCCUUUUGCAACAUUUCCUGAUUUCCAGGUAUACUUGAAACACACAAAGAGACUAUGCAGAGGUAGCGUAUCUGCCAAAAGUUGCAUUACUCUCUUUUGCUCAAUAUUACAUAAAUCCCUUCUCUUUCCAUAAGAAGAUAUGACAGAGACAGUUAAUAUCCACAUGAGCCUUCCCAUUUCUCAGCCUCCUUUGCAUUCAGGGCAGGAACAUGGGCGGAAGUGAUGUAUACCAUUCCCACUCCUGGCUUUAAGAGUCAAGUGCAACCUCCUUCCCCAUGGGUAUGACCUUGAAAGCCACGUUGGCGAUGGCAGAGUCACCAGAGGAAAGCAGACUGGUUCUCUCUGACUCACUGUUUGGCACGGGGCUGUUCUGGAGAGUGUCUGAACUCACAAGUAGAUUUUGUGUGAGCAAAAACCAAACCGUUAGGUGCUUACCCGCUGAGAUGUGGGAGUUUGUUUGUUACUGCCAUUGAAUCUAAUUCUGACUAAUUCAGGUAUUGACUCCAUCAUGGACAAGGAAGAUCUAAAAUGGCAAGACUAUUAAAAGCAAAAACAAAAAGUUAGUUGAUUUUGAUGUCAAAGAGAAAAUAAUAAUUGCUUAAAAAUCCUCUAUUUGAGGAAAAAGUAUUAUUUGGGGCUAACUUACCAAGAAGUUGCUGCAGUCUCAAGAUCCAAUACUUAGAAAAACAGGUUUUCAUCUUAAACCAACCCAAUAAAGCACCAUUUUUCUUCUAUUCUGUCAGACAAAUAAAUCACACCUUUACCUCCUAUUAUGCUGAUACGCAAUCCUCGUGGUAGACACAAAGUUGGCUUAUGGAUUUUUGAGUUGGUAAAAAUAUCUAAUCCUAUGGACUGAAAAAAAUUGUUAAAGCAUAGCGGCAAUCCAAUCUUGAGACUGUAAGUAGUUUCUUGAAUUUGUAUUGUACUUUCACUAUUAUGUUACAUAUAGUUCAUACGCUCAUCAUGAAAAUUACACAAAAUGAGGAGAGCUAUUUAUAAAUAUGAAAACAGAGUCAUAGACGGUCAAGUUCAUUAAGCUAUUGAGUGAAUAGGAGUGGGAAUUCAAACCCGUUUCUGAUUCUUAUUUCUAAAUAUUGUCUGGUAUAAUCUAAUGCUCUUUAACUCUUUUUUGCAUCCAUAAAACUGAAUAUUUUAGACUUAGAUGUUUUCUUCUCUUCUUUUUCCCCAUGAAACAAAUAUCUAUGUCUGUGUAUGCAUAUAAACAGCUCUCCUUAUGGCUUUAUUACAAAGAGCAUUUUUUUGCUUGUUUCUUGUCAUUUUAAAUUGAAGGUUUGCAUAUCGGAGGUUGUUCUUUACAAUCUUAGUAAACUCUGUUUUGUUUAUGUUUUACCAGAAGAUAUGGCUUUUCCUGAAUAUCUAUGCUUAACUCGUUCCUGUGGUCCUUUCCUCUUUUUUCUCAGUUUCUUCUAGUCGUCUCAAAUGUCUGCAUCUAAAACCCACAUUCAGAUGCCCACGGUUGUCUACAGUCCACCUGUUUCCAGCUUCCCCCUUCUUCAAUGUUAGUCACAGAUAAAUAUUAUUUGCUAUUUUAUCUCAGAGUAUUUGGGAAACUGUGGGACUCUUGAACACAGUUGUCAGUGAGGGUUGUGUACGCAACAGAAAGAAAUAAACCAGAAAUAAAUAUUUAGAGAUUAAACAGCUGGUUAAUAAACCAAGAAGUAUUCUUUUCAUCCUUCUACCAUCUGAUUUGUGAUUCCAGAACGUCCAGAAGAGAGAGAUUUAAAUUGCUUUCAGCUAAGCUGUAGACCUCUAGCAGAUGAACGACAUAUUUUCCUGAAGGGUGUGAAGAGGAUACUGACCCACCAGAAAGAGACCCCACUGCUAGAACGAAUAAGAUGUGCUGAAAGCCGGAGCAUAACUUGGCCAUUCCCAAGAUUUAACAACAAACUAACUACCCAUCAUUAACAGUAAAGCAGAAAGAAAACAAUCAGUAAGAGAUUAUAUAGACCUAAGAGAUGUUACAGACCGAAGAAGAACCUAUGGAGGAAGACAGGAAGAUGAGAGAGAUUUGAAGAUGGUAUGUGGCUGAAUUUGAAGAUAGAGAAAGGAACCGCAAGCAAAGAAUGCAAGAGGUCUCUAGAAGCUGGAAAAGGCAAGGAAAGAGUCUCCCCUCAAGCUCCAGCAGGAAUGCAGUCCUGACACCUUGAGUUUAGCCUAGUGAGACUUCUGACCUCCAGAACUAGAAGAUACAAGUGGUGUUUUAAGGCACUAAAACGAAGAACUAGAAGUAUUGUUUUAAGCCCAUAAAUUUGUGAUAAUCUGUUACAGUAGUAAUAGGCAAUGCAUACACAAGCACACAAAGUAAAAUUUUUCUGUGGUUAUUUUCCAUAUUUUUUCAGUUAUUUUCUGCCUUUUGAAGACAUUAAAGACAUAAAAUGAAUAUGUAUUAGUUUAGGAAUAAAAUUUAAAAUGUAGGAAUGCUAUAAAAGAAGAAAAAAUUUUAACUGGGCUAAAGCAAACCCAGUAUGUCAUCCUAUUACAUCAGCUUCUUCAUCUUUGGAUGAAGAGGUUGGUGACUGUUUCUUCUAAUGUGAGAAUAGCUCCAAAUUGCUAAAUUGUUCAGAAUUUGACAAGAUGAAAGAGGAAAGAAAAAGGAAAUCUUGAAAACAUUUACUGUUUCCUUGUUCAAUGGAUAACACAUGGAUUCCUGAUUGGGAGAUUUUUCCUCUUGCUUUGAUCUGAAGGCAGAAGGAAAUAUAUUCAUUAUUGUUUAAAAGAAUACAUUUUAACCUAACUUUAAAACAUUCAUGAUAUAUUUGUGAACCAUAAUCUUAUUACCCCAACCUAGAAGUUAUUUUGAUCACUAAACUUCCUUUUCAAUAUCUUCAUAUAUGUGUCUUUACAUACUUUAAAUAAAAAAUAUAUAAUUGUAUAACGUUUUAUUAUUUUAUUUAAUAUUUAUCACUUCUAAUAAAUAUAUGUAAAUAUGUAAACAGAAUUUAUGUAUUUUUUCAACAAACAUUUCAAACAUCUACCUUAUGCAAAGCAAUAUAUAGUGAAGGCAGAUAUAAAGUAUAAAUAAGUAUUCUCUAAUAUUGCCUCUAUUUUAAAAAAACUAAAUGUAUUGAGCAUUCUCUAUAUGCCAGGAACUGAACUAAGUAAUUUACUGUUAAUUUACACUAUAAUUCCAUGAAGUAGGUAUUAAUAUUAUCUCCAGGACUAAAGUGAGAUGAUUGACAUUUCUCUUUCCAGAUGAAAUUAGGUAAGUUAUCCAAGGUCAUGUAUCUAGGAAGCAAUAAAUCUAGGAAAUUCAAAUUUAUUGUUAAUUUUUCUAUUUUUUUAUGGAAUUAAGAAAAUGUUAUUUAUAGUUAAUGCUCUUAUACAGAAUUCCCUAUAUUUAACUUUUUCUUCUUAAAAUGACUUAUUUGAGUAACUAUGAGCCUUG